GCCGCUGGAGCUCCAGAUCUCUUGUUCACUGCUCUGUGUUCUCUGCUCAUAGAGGCCCAGCCUCUGAGGCCCUUUGACCUGCAGGUAUUGGGAGAUCCACAGCCAAGAGCCAGGACCCCCUAGAAGUCUAGAAAUGGUAUUGUUCUCUCCAAGCCAGAACUGAUCACCUGUCUGGAGCAAGGAAAAAAACCUCUGACCGUGAAGAGACAUGAGAUGAUUGCCAAACCCCCAGAGAUGGAGUCUCGCUCUGUCACCUAGACGGAAGUGCAGUGGUGCGAUCUCAGCUCACUGCAACCUCUGCCUUUUGGGUUCAAGAAAUUCUCCUGCUUCAGCCUCUCUAGUAACUCGGAUUACAGUUAUUUGUUCUCAUUUUGCCCAAGAACUUUGGCUAGAGCAGAACAUAAAAGAUUCUUUUCAAAAAGUGAUACUGAGAAGAUAUAAAAAAUGUGGACAUGGCAAUUUACAGUUAAAAAAAGGAUGUGAAAGUGUGGAUGAGUGUAAGGUGCAAAAAAGAGGUUAUAAUGGGCUUAACCAAUGCUUGACAACUACCCAUUGCAAAAUAUUUCAAUGUGAUAAAUAUGUGAAAGUCUUUCAUCAAUUUUCAAAUUCAAACAGACAGAAGACGUACUGUAAAAAAACCUUUGAAACAUAUAGAAUGUGGCAAAUCUUUUAACCAGUCCUCAACCCUUACUACACAUAAGAAAAUUCAUACUGGAGAGAAACCCUACAAAUGUGAA
rnacentral:lncRNA from 1 species